rnacentral:rRNA from 1 species
GACGAACGCUGGCGGCGUGCUUAACACAUGCAAGUCGAGCGGUAAGGCCCUUUCGGGGGUACACGAGCGGCGAACGGGUGAGUAACACGUGGGUGACCUGCCCUCAGCUCUGGGAUAAGCCUGGGAAACUGGGUCUAAUACCGGAUAUGACUCCAUGACGCAUGUUGUGGGGUGGAAAGCCUUGUGCGGCUGAGGAUGGGCCCGCGGCCUAUCAGCUUGUUGGUGGGGUGAUGGCCUACCAAGGCGACGACGGGUAGCCGGCCUGAGAGGGCGACCGGCCACACUGGGACUGAGACACGGCCCAGACUCCUACGGGAGGCAGCAGUGGGGAAUCUUGCGGCAAUGGGCGAAAGCCUGACGCAGCGACGCCGCGUGAGGGA